AUACAUGGUAACUUGAGAGGAAGGUUGGAUGUGAAGAUGAUGCUGGAGACGGUGGAGAAGAAGAAUCUCAGUGGCAGAUUCAUCUGUUGCAUUAACAUGGUGGAGAUUCAUCUCAGAAACAGAGGAGAUGAUAGCUUUGAUGGUUCAGCCGAUUGUUGGCAGUUUCAAAGCCACUGAAAUCUGAUUUGAGCAACGAGAUAGGUGUGUCUGCAGAAGAGAAGGCAAUGGGAUCUUUGGACCGUCUAGAGCAAUCAUUGUAACGAGAAGGCUUGAUCAUCCUAUUGUACUGAAGUUAGAAGCUUGAUCAAUAUGUCUGGUUUCAUCUAUCUUUACUUUUAUUUUGUAUAUAUAUAUAUAGAAAAUGAGCGUACAAGCCAAGCUGAUACAAAGCAAAACUAGCUACCAAAAUAUGUACAACCACAAUUAAACACUCAUAUGUACACUAAACAAACGUACAUAUGUUUCACAAACCCUCCUACUGACCGUACAUAUGCUUUACAAACCUUUCCAUUCUAAAUAGGAUUAAACAACUAAUUUUCCUCCUUCUCUAUUAGUUUAGUGCAAUCAGAGAAAAAAAAACUUGUUUUAGACAAAUGCAUUGAUUGCAUUAUUUCAAAAAUUUGUCUAUGCUACAAUUUUGUGCUAUGACUAUGUAAGUGUGUUUAGGAAUGUUUUUAUCAACAUUUUAUAUUUCUUUUUUAGAUCUUGUUCUUGUAUUUGCAUAUUGCAACAUAUGUAUGGCCAACAUUAAUGUCCACGUGUACACAGAGACCUCAUUAUCCACGUGUACGUAUCCACAUGUACACCGGUUUGUAAUAUCCACAGCUUACGAUAUCCAUGUGUACAUUAAUGUCAUGACUAAAAUGAUAUUUUCAAGCAGGCUUUCACUCAAUGCCUCAGCAUAAGAAAAAAAAGAACUUACAAAAGCGUCAAAGCUUUUAUUCAUGGUGUUGGAGUGUCCAAAUUCUCCACCAUAUGGAGAUGAUGAUUCAUGGAUAAGUAUCAAGAAAGGGGUGAAGGAGAGCUCGCGUUGGUUACGGCGGUGUUAUGACGGUUAUGGUGUUGACGAUGGGAGUACAGAUGAGGAAAUGGGUGGAUGUAAUUAGAGAACUGAACAAACCUUUGUCCCACGAGCUAUGACCAUCAUUAACAAAUCUUCAAACAAUUGAAAGACCAACAAUUUUGCUAUGUCAUCUACGUCGUCGUCGAUGUCACCUAAUGCUAACGUCUCCGCCGUCAUAUAUGUUCUCCCACCGUAGUCUAUGUCACCAUUUUACCAUCAUCACCAUCAUCAGACCAGCAUCUUGGUACAUCUCAAAAAAUAGAUCGAACAACAUAGAUAAUCAUUUGAAGUGAAUUAUGUUGGAAAAGAAAUCUGAAAAAGCAAAUCUGGAUGAAGAAGAGAGAGUGGAACCUACUAUAUUUUCUCAGUUAACGAAAUGUUUUAGAUUUUGUUAUAAUAGAACUAAGAUUACUAUUUGAAAAAAAAAGUUAGUUUUGGAAUUUUGUAUGCUCCACAUGUGUGGUUUCUCGUAGAAAAGAGUGAAAAACUGCUCUAAUAGCUAUAAGUGUUUUAUAGUGUUAUAAAAAGUCAAAAAGUGAUCUUGGGUGUAAUUGUUUCAUUAAAUAUCUAACACAGUUACAAUCAAUUUGGACUAUGCUUUAAGAAAAUGAAUUAUUAAUUCUUAAUAAUCAUAUAUACUGUUUAUAUUUUUACUAAUAAAUAAACUAAAGCCUACCAAUUAGUUAGAUAAUUUUAAUUAUGUUUAUGCGUAUUAAAAAUCAGUCUUAUUUUCAUUUAUUAAUUAAAUAAUUAGACUUAAAUAUUACUAAAAACUUCAAAAUCUCAACAACCAGCUUAAAACAAAUUUGUGUUAAAACACAAAAAUAAAUUUUAAUGAUCUAAAGAUGAAUUGUGUUAUAAGAAUCGGAAACUCAAAAUUGCUUCAAUUUAUUUUUAUGUUAUUCUAUUUCCUAAUGUAGAUUUUUUUUAUCAAACAGAUAAAUAAAAUAAUAAAUAUGAUUUUUUAAUUCUGAAUGUUUCUUUCCUAUUUAACUUUAUGAUUUUGCAUUCUUACUGAUUUUAUAUUAGUUUUUAAAAAUAAUUUAUAAAUAUCAAUGUAUUUUCCUAUAAUAGUCACAGCUUCUACAACUUUUGAUACCAAUACAUGCUUUUUUUAAAAAAAUAGUAGCUACAAUCUUUAUCAAAAUUUCUUCAAAUAAAAAUUUAAAAUCAAAACCUAAAGUGGAAGUCGUUAUCAACCGGAGCUAUUUUGACUAAACCAAAUCAAUCCGGCCUGUUUAAACAGAACUAAAUUAUAUCAAGUUAACUUAGCCAACCCAAUCCGUCUAAUGGCCGAACCAAAGAACUGUAUAACAGAUUUGAUGCUUUGGGAGAGCUUGGGAUCACGUGCAAUUGAGGACGUGUGUCGUGAUUUCAUUGAUUGGUAACCGUUAUCCUUAAAUUGAAGAUUCAAUGUAAGUUACCUUCUUCAAUCUUAUUAAGGCUCAUUAAAUAUAACAUAAAUGGGCCACUUAUAAGGCCCAUAACAAGUCUAAGCUUUUUCCAAAACCGACAAUCUUAGAGCACCCCCAUUGAGAGUUCAUGGGGGGAGUUCACACAAAAACCAAGAAAAAAAAAUAAUAAAAUAAUUCAAUCCCAUGAACCCUCUCUCUCCUAAAGUUCUCUUGGUUGAACCUCUCACUCCUAAAGUUCAUCACUGUAGCGCGGGCUCCACGUGUCGUGGCGGCCCGCGAUUGGUCUAACUUUUUUUUUUUUUUUUUUUUUUUUUUAAAAAAACCAAAAAGAAAAAAAAACAAAU